rnacentral:misc_RNA from 1 species
GCUUGCUGCAGCAGGUUCAGCGAUUCGCUUUUGGCGCCAUGGAGGCGGCGGGCAACUUCGUGGGAGACUUUCCCCAGUGGCAGGGCGCCUUCGAGCGCGGCUACGACAACCGACGGUCCCGCCGAAGAAGACCGCGACCGCCGCCUCGCCUUCAACGGCAGCAGGACUACUACUAUCACCACGAAGACGUCGGCUACUACCCCGAGCCCUGGACCAUGCCGGAGUCCGGGAUUGGCGAUUUCGCGACCGAAGUCUGCGCUGGCAACGGCCGGGCUCCCAGAACCGGACACGGGAGAGCGGGCGGUUCGCGCGGUUCGUCCUCCAGCUCUUCCUCGUCUUGCGCCACCGACGUCGUCGCGUCCAUUCCGACGACAGCCCGGGAGAGACGCAUUCUGGCGCUCUUGAACCGCACGGGUUACCCCAUGGUCCAGGACAACGGACAGCGGCGCUACGGGCCGCCGCUCACCUGGCAGGGCGAGCCGCCUCCCAAGGGCUGCGAGGUGUUCGUCGGCAAGCUGCCCCGGGACCUGUUCGAAGACGAGCUGGUGCCGUUCCUGGAGCAGGCCGGCCGGCUCUACGAGGUGCGGCUCAUGAUGGACUUUGCCGGCUCGAACCGGGGCUUUGCCUUCGCCACGUACGGGACGCGGAGCGAGGCGCAGCGCGCCGUGCGCUGCCUGGACGAGCGCGAGAUCCGGCGCGGCCGACGGGUGGGCGUGUGCGAGUCGCUGGACAACUGCCGCCUGUUCGUGGGCGGCAUACCGCGCGACAAGAACCGCGACGACGUCCUGGAGGAGAUGCGGCGCGUCACCGAGGGCGUGGUGGACGUCAUCCUCUACCCCAACGUGGCGGACAAGACGCGCAACAGGGGCUUCGCCUUCGUCGAGUACGCGGACCACAAGGCGGCCGCCGUGGCGCGCCGGCGCAUGAUCCCGGGCAAGAUGACCCUCUGGGGAGGCUACGAGGUGGCCGUCGACUGGGCCGAGCCCGAACCCAUUGUGGACGACGAGACCAUGAAUGCGGUCACAGUACUGUAUGUUCGCAACCUGAUGCUGAGCACAUCGGAGGACGUGAUUCGUGAAGCCUUCACCCUCGAGGGCCAGCUCACCGUGGCCAAGAUCAAAAAGAUUCGGGACUUUGCUUUCGUCCAUUACUUGAACAGAGAAGAUGCAAAGCUAGCCCUGGAAAGUAUGAGAGGUGCCGACAUUGAAGGGUCUCCCAUUGAGGUUGCAUGGGCAAAACCAGUGAAUCGAGGGAAACAUCUCGACCGCAAGCCCAAUUAUGGAAAGAAAAACAAAGAGUUCGUUCACGGCAGCCACAGCAACUUCCGUGGAGAUCCUGUGGUGAUGCCAUCGCCUGUGGGAGGUGUUGGCUUCGGGAUCUACAGCAUGGCAUCCCAUCCUGUCCCGCUACCAAUUGGAUCUGGCAGACCUGGCCGUGCGGAGGGCCUCAUGCAAGACCACAAUGGCGUGGCUCCCUUGCCCCAUCAAAACACUGCAAGAGAAUUGCGCUGUCAACAAAUAAUACAGGUUCUGAAUGACGUGUGUGAAAGGCAAGGAUGGGGUGUGCCUCAGUUCCAGCUCUUCACAGUGGCGAGCUCCGAAUGCAGCCCUGAGAGGAACGGUGAACCGCAGAUGCCGCUUUGCUUUUUCAAGGUGACAGUGCCAAACAUCUCUCCACCAAUGUACAAUACCAUCACACCAAACAAAUUCUCUCGCACUGUUGAAGAAGCUCGAGAGUACGCUGCUGAGUACACCCUCCACCAUCUGCUUCAGAGACUUGACAUGGCCACCCCUGCCCAGCACCCGCACCCCACGAGCCCGGUUUUCGUAGCUACCCAGACACUUCCGACCAUCGGCAUCGGCCAAGGCUACCCUCAGUACGCCGCUGUGCUACCCGGAGCAGGUUUCUUCGUGAACACGACAGCGCGGCCAGUCUACAUUUCGGCCUAUCACAGCACAACCUACUGACGUGCCUUGCGUCUUUGCAACUGCCUUCAUCUAGAGUAUCUCAGUGUUGUUCUUGUUUCUCUCCUCAUUCCGUCUUGACCACCAAAGAGGCAAGGCCAGUCUGCUGCAUCUGUGGCUUUGCCAUUGAACCUCGUGAACACUAUGUGCCAGUUGCUGAUUAAUGAACACAGGUCAGCACAGUUAGCCAAGGGAACAUCCUGCUUCUGACGUUCAUUGAGCACUUGAUGCUAUAACCUAUGUGGUAAUAGCAGGUAAAUUGAUUGAUGUUUUCAAGGUGCCCUUCUAAUGAACAAGUUUAAAGGCAUGUCGUCUCAUCAAUAUUGAACUUGACCAUUCCACGUAACAUGCUCAUCUCGUAACGGUUUUUAUGACCAACGUCGGGUUAGAGAAAUACGUACUAAAAGCGUAUGGUGAAAUAUUUUGGCCAUACAAUCCCAAGUUUUCUUUAAACUGCAUCUGUAGCCUUGUGGAAAAAAAAAAGUUUAACUGGAGCGGCAGCACACCUUUAACACCAUUUCACUGCUCCUUUCAAAACGCAGGUCUGCUUUGUGUGAAUGUGCUUUGCCCAUUUGUUGGCUUCAUUUUGAGGCUAUAACGUGCGACCUGUAGUUGCUAAGUGAAGUUUCACAGUCAUUGGCGCUCACAACAUGGGCUAUUCGACAUCUGCUGCCGCGACUGACGUAUCAUCAUUGCUUAAUCUGUGCUGACCUGUGUUUAGUAAUUGCUUGUCUACAUCUAUCUUUUUACAUUUUUAUCUUAUAUCUCUUUACGCUUUUAAAUGUUCGAUUUGUUUGUGAAUUUCAUGCUUUUAUCAUUAUAUCUUUUUAUGCUUUUAAAUGUUCGAUUUGUUUGUGCAUUCCAUGCUUUUAUCAUUAUAUCUUUUUAUGCUUAUAAAUGUUCGAUUUGUUUGUGCAUUCCAUGCUUUUAUCAUUGUAGCACAGCCAAACAGCUGUGCCUACAUAUUUUUUUGAAAAGAACCUCUUGUAUCUCAUUGUGUGCCUUUGCUACUUAUCUGCAAGGGAGGUCUUGGCAAUUCUUUUAGCUGUUGACGUUGGACAUUUACAGUCCUAAAGCCAUUUUAGCUUUGCUUGGAUUUUAGGUUUUUACUCUCUACAUUGAAAGAUGAAUUGCACCUUAUUAGCAUUGAUUAGUGUGAUACUGCCCAUAAUUGCCCUCUGUUUACAGGCAUGUGCGUAUUGCUUGCCUGGAAGCUCAAGUAGGUGGGACAGUUUUGAACACUUGAUAUAUGGCACCUGCAUCAAAACCUUCUGCUGUGUGGGGCACAGGACAUUUAAUAUCUGCUCAUAAAAAAAUAUGAUUUAAAAGAAGUUUUGUUUUGUAGCAGAAUGAUAUGAUGCUGAUCAAUUUGAAAAAAAAAAGUAAUUUGACAGACUACACAUUCAGUGUGAAAGAAUUUCGUAAUGCAAAUGUACUUUUAGAAUACUUUUAUCUCUGGUGCUUUAAAUUAUGCAUGUUGUUUCCCAGCAAUGUGUUCGAAAAGACGGGGGCUCCUUCAAGACAAUUGCCUCACAGAAAUGACCAGACUGUUCAUUAGAAACGAUUUCUAGAAUAAUUAUUUUACCGAAAUCACCGUAGUUUUAUCUCUACAAUGAAUGGAUACCUGUGUUGUGUGAAAAACAUAACAAUGGUGCAGUCGUCUUUCAUCGCUCAUCCCGACAAAGGAGGGAGAGGAAAGAUAUGGCAGUGUACAGGGCCGACUUCAAUUAGUCGGUAUUAAGAGCUCGUACCAACCGAUGUGCAAUGUAAAAUUCAGAAAGCAACUUCUUUCAUCGGUUGUCGUCACCAUUAAGCACUCUUAAAGGCAGAUUUCUGGGAAAUGAAGCAAAAGAGCUGGCUUGACUAUUAACGAGCUGCUUUCUCCAAUUACAGUCGGUCUUGUACAAAUCACACCUGAAAGAUGGUGCAAUUGUGAAUGGUGCCACUUUUUCCCCUCCUCUAAAGGUUUCUUUCACACACCUCAUAACUGGGGAUAUCGUUCCAGUUUGUUUUUAUUUGAACCAUGAUUUUAUCUCUACCUUUUUAUACAACUUGCAAGGCCUUCCUUGAGCACUGUCACAUUCUCAUACAAAUACUGACUAGUGCAUAGUAUUGCGAAGGGCACAGUAUUAUGAAGUGCGCAUGCAGACUUGUUUCCUGUUUGGGACAAGGUCAGCUAGCACUUCAUAUUUAUUAUUUUCUCAUGUGGGCUGCUGGCAUACGACUAGCUUUUAAAAUUUCAUAAGCUAUUGCGUGUGACAAGGCCCGCUCAUUCUAUUUGUGCGUGAAACGUCACUUGUCGUUGCAAUAAUCACUUGUCAUCGCAACAUUGCUGUUUCCUUUGUUUGCUAGUGUUGCUGUUUUGUUAUUAUUAUUAUAGAUUUAUGUGUAGUGUUUAUUAUGCCCCUUUGCUAAGCUUACUUUAUUGUGUUCAUCUAUUUUCUUGUGCUUCCCGGUUUCUGCUUUGCCAUGGAAAUUGCCAACUUCGGGUUUGCUUGGGUGAGUUCAUCUAGUCAUGUGGUCUGUUCUAUCAUUGCCUAGUGCUGGAGCUACCGUGCCUUCUUUUGUAUUUCCAUCGUAAUGUUGGUUACUUUAACUUCUUUUCUCUUUAUUGACUUGCACCUGAUGCUGCUCGAACUCUUAUACACUAGCACAUCCCAUUGUCCCACUUUGAUUUCUGGUUUUAGCUAGGACUCCUCUUAUGGACCAAAAAAAUGUUAUUUUUUAUAUUUGUGACUGCGAAUUUCACCGAGUGUCACGCUUCCAUCCAGUUAAUUGUUAAAUAAUGCUCCGUGCACCAAACUUGAGCCUUCAUGGAAAGUUAGUUUGACUUUCAUGUUGAUGCUGACUAGCUUGGUACAAAUGUGAGCAAAUGUGUGAACUGACAGAAGCACCUUAUUCUGUUAUUCAGAAUGGGAAUGAGAGCUCGUAUUUCUACGUAACCUAUCCUGGUAACGCCAUUGGAAAGUUCCCUCUUCGCAUUGUUAAAGUGUUACUGGUGUGUGAUAUUGGCCUCUGGUGAAACUGAAAUUCAUUCUAAAGGGAGCUUGUAGAUGUUUCUCAAAUGCCAUUCUUAGCUUCAGCAGUGCCUUCAGCCAACAUUCUAUUCAGAUCUCUUGUCACUGCAAUCUUCUUGCAAUGAUUAGGAUAUCAAUCAGCGGUACUCCUUGGGCAGAUCACCUUACUCGUUUAGGCAAUCUUUCUUGGAAACUUCGAAAACAGUAGUGGUCAUUUGUCCCCUCGAAUUAUUGCGCUCUUUUGUCAUUUCUGUGCAUCCUGCCUUAAAACAUAAUCACUUAAUGUCAUAAAUAUUUCGAGGCACCACAUGUGCCCUCUAAAUCCCUUUUCAUGCUCCUGUGAUAAAGAUUCCGAGUCAGUUGAAAAACUGUAAUUUGGCCAGAUUAUUUUGUGGGAACUGCCACACGCUACGGAUGGGAAGUGAAUAUUUUGCUAGUGGAAUUUUCAGAAUGCCAUCAUUCAACUUCACUACAGCUUGUAUGAGAUCCACAGGUCGCAAGAGAUAUAUAAAAAAUGAAAAAUUUGUUCCUAUAUAUGUGAAUGUUCAUGCCAAUUGGCCAUUGAUGCUUAUGCUUCAAAGUCUCAAGAGCAUUCACACCUCCAGCGUAAGAUAAGGUGUUGUGUGAGUGCAUUGGUCAUGCAGUUAUUUAAUUUUCUCGUUCCUUGAGUGCAGUUUGUUGCUACGUUUUCGUUUAAAAUUUGUGUGCCAGUGUGUUAUUUAUGGCUUUUUCUUGUCGCCCUCACAAGUUCUGAGUGUGCGCUUUUUGAAAAUCUAAAUAAAGUUGAGUUGAAAAUCACA